ACAUGCAGUCGAGCGGACAGAUGGGAGCUUGCUCCCUGAUGUUAGCGGCGGACGGGUGAGUAACACGUGGGUAACCUGCCUGUAAGACUGGGAUAACUCCGGGAAACCGGGGCUAAUACCGGAUGGUUGUCUGAACCGCAUGGUUCAGACAUAAAAGGUGGCUUCGGCUACCACUUACAGAUGGACCCGCGGCGCAUUAGCUAGUUGGUGAGGUAACGGCUCACCAAGGCGACGAUGCGUAGCCGACCUGAGAGGGUGAUCGGCCACACUGGGACUGAGACACGGCCCAGACUCCUACGGGAGGCAGCAGUAGGGAAUCUUCCGCAAUGGACGAAAGUCUGACGGAGCAACGCCGCGUGAGUGAUGAAGGUUUUCGGAUCGUAAAGCUCUGUUGUUAGGGAAGAACAAGUGCCGUUCAAAUAGGGCGGCACCUUGACGGUACCUAACCAGAAAGCCACGGCUAACUACGUGCCAGCAGCCGCGGUAAUACGUAGGUGGCAAGCGUUGUCCGGAAUUAUUGGGCGUAAAGGGCUCGCAGGCGGUUUCUUAAGUCUGAUGUGAAAGCCCCCGGCUCAACCGGGGAGGGUCAUUGGAAACUGGGGAACUUGAGUGCAGAAGAGGAGAGUGGAAUUCCACGUGUAGCGGUGAAAUGCGUAGAGAUGUGGAGGAACACCAGUGGCGAAGGCGACUCUCUGGUCUGUAACUGACGCUGA
rnacentral:rRNA from 1 species